UCCUCCAAUAUUCAAGGUCAACCCAUGGGGUCCACUUCUCAUGCACUCUUACAAGAUUGUGCUACUCCUGAUGGUGACUUCUCUAUAAAGUUGUUUGGCCCAUUUAAAAAAUUCCUUGUUCACAUGACGCUUCCUAUGUAAAAGUGCUAGUUCUCUUGAGCCCAUUUCAUGUUCACGUGACCAUCUCUUCCCUAUAGAUAAUUAUUCCAAUGAAAAGGCUUCCUCUGCUCGUGACUCAUCUACCAAAAACACUGGUUGCUUCCUUGAAACACCUGCCCAUGUGUCACCUCGUUCUGCCUCAUCUUCACACCCAUCUCCUGUCAUUUCUCAACCCACCCGAUAGCACCCCAUGCGUACCAGAUCAUUGAAUAUAAUUUUUGAACCAAAAAAAUCUCAUGAUUUUUUCCUUGCAACUCACAGUUCCAAUAGUUUUGUUUUAGAACCGAGGACGCCUACUCAAGCUCUUCAAUCCCUUGAAUGGCGCACUGCCAUGUCUCCAAAACAUGAAGCUCUCUUACGUAAUAACACUUAGGACCUUGUUCCAUCCUCUGAUGCAAAAAAUGUUGUUGGUUGUAAAUGGGUUUUCCGUAUCAAACGAAACCCAAAUGGUUUUCUAAAUAAAUAUAAAGCUCGUCUUGUGGCAAAAGGCUUCCAUCAGCAUCCUGGUGUUGACUUCUCUGAUACCUUCAUCCCAGUAAUCAAGCCAGGAACGGUUAGACUUGUUCUUAGUGUUGCCUUAUCCCAAGAUUGGCCUCUUAAGCAACUGGACAUCAAUAACGCAUUCCUCAAUGGUACUCUACAUGAAGAAGUCUAUAUGUCUCAGCCUCCUGGGUUUAUUGAUCAAAACAAACCAUCUAAUGUGUGUAGGCUCAAGAAGGCCAUAUACAGUUUGAAACAAGCUCCACGAGCCUGAUGAUAUUAUUCUUACAGGCAACAAUUCCUCACUUCUGUAAUGAUUUGUUCAUUCUCUCUCUCAAAGGUUUUCUUUAAAGGACUUGGGUGAUUUAAAUUAUUUUCUGGGUGUUAAGGUUCUGCCUAGCAAACAUGGUCUCUUUCUUAGCUAGCAAAAAUAUAUUCUUGAUUCUUUGGAAAAAAGCAACAUGACUGAUGCAAAACCUAUGGCAUCUCCAAUGUCUGCAACUCAAUCUUUCACUCUAUCUGACGGGUCCCAACCUACAAAUGCAACACAGUAUCGCCAAGUGGUCGGAAGUCUUCAAUAUCUUUCAUCCACUCGACCAGAUAUAAGUUUUGCAGUAAACAAGCUUUCUCAGUUUAUGCAUUGCCCCACUACGACUCAUUGGACUUUUGUCAAGCGAGUACUUCGCUAUUUAAAAGGAACAAGCUCAUAUGGUUUAUUCUUACAUCGCAACAAUCCUCCGUCUCUUCAUGCUAAUUCUGAUGCUGACUGGGCUGGCAAUCGCGAUGACCGAACAUCCACCACCGGUUACCUUGUGUUUCUAGGUGGCAAUCCUAUAUCUUGGUCUCCCAAAAAACAAAGAUCUAUCUCACACUCAUCAAUUGAAGUAGAAUAUAGAGCUGUAGCCAACACAACAUCGAAAUUAUAGUGGCUACUCUCUCUUUUGAAAGAACUUCAAAUCCAUUCUUCCACUUCUCCUACCAUCUAUUGUAAUAAUGUCAGUACAACAUAUUUGUGUGCUAAUCCAAAUUUUCAUUAAAAAAUGAAGCACGUUGGAAUCGACUUUCAUUUUGUCCGAGAACGAGUAGCUGCUGGUUCACUACGAGUAUCUCAUAUAAGUAGCAACGAUCAGCUUGCUGAUGGUCUUACAAAACCUCUACCUCGCCAAAGACUCAAGUUUCUACUGUCCAAACUUGGUGUUCUUCCUUGCCCACCAAGUUUGAGGGGGCAUAUCAGUGAUCCUUCUGCAACUACUAUAACUAACUAACUAUUUCUUGUAUUCAAAGUAUCUGUCUUAUUUAUCUUUAUCACAUAGUUUUCGGGAUUUACUUGUAUUCAAAAUUAUUUUAUAUUGAUCUGUCAGUUGUACUCUUCAUCUGCAUUUGUAUAUUUCAAACCCACUGACGUUAAUGAAUAAAAGAAUGCUAUUUUCAUUCUCAGAA